ACAGUGGACGCGAGCAUCUGUGGCCAAGUUUUUAAGGGCGCACGGUGGAUGCCUUGGCACCAGGAACCGAUGAAGGACGUGGGAGGCCACGAUAGUCCCCGGGGAGCCGUCAACCAGGCUUUGAUCCGGGGGUUUCCGAAUGGGGAAACCCGGCAGUCGUCAUGGGCUGUCACCCAUACCUGAACACAUAGGGUAUGUGGAGGGAACGAGGGGAAGUGAAACAUCUCAGUACCCUCAGGAAGAGAAAACAACCGUGAUUCCGGGAGUAGUGGCGAGCGAAACCGGAUGAGGCCAAACCGUAUGCGUGUGAUACCCGGCAGGGGUUGCGCAUGCGGGGUUGUGGGAUCUCUCUUCUGUCGUCUGCCGGCGACAGGGCGAGUCAGAAACCGUUGGUGUAGGCGAAGGACAUGCGAAAGGUCCGGCGUAGAGGGUAAGACCCCCGUAGCUGAAACAUCAACGGCUCGUUUGAGAGACACCCAAGUAGCACGGGGCCCGAGAAAUCCCGUGUGAAUCUGGCGGGACCACCCGCUAAGCCUAAAUAUUCCCUGGUGACCGAUAGCGGAUAGUACCGUGAGGGAAUGGUGAAAAGUACCGCGGGAGCGGAGUGAAAUAGUACCUGAAACCGUGUGCCUACAAGCCGUGGGAGCGUCGC
rnacentral:rRNA from 1 species